rnacentral:rRNA from 1 species
UACGUAGGGUGCAAGCGUUGUCCGGAAUUAUUGGGCGUAAAGAGCUCGUAGGCGGUUUGUCGCGUCUGCUGUGAAAACUCGGGGCUUAACUGCGGGCCUGCAGUGGGUACGGGCAGACUAGAGUGCGGUAGGGGAGACUGGAAUUCCUGGUGUAGCGGUGAAAUGCGCAGAUAUCAGGAGGAACACCGGUGGCGAAGGCGGGUCUCUGGGCCGUAACUGACGCUGAGGAGCGAAAGCGUGGGGAGCGAACAGG